rnacentral:rRNA from 1 species
GAGGAAUAUUGGUCAAUGGACGAGAGUCUGAACCAGCCAAGUAGCGUGAAGGAUGACUGCCCUAUGGGUUGUAAACUUCUUUUAUACGGGAAUAAAGUUAGCCACGUGUGGCUUUUUGUAUGUACCGUAUGAAUAAGGAUCGGCUAACUCCGUGCCAGCAGCCGCGGUAAUACGGAGGAUCCGAGCGUUAUCCGGAUUUAUUGGGUUUAAAGGGAGCGUAGGCGGGUUGUUAAGUCAGUUGUGAAAGUUUGCGGCUCAACCGUAAAAUUGCAGUUGAUACUGGCGACCUUGAGUGCAACAGAGGUAGGCGGAAUUCGUGGUGUAGCGGUGAAAUGCUUAGAUAUCACGAAGAACUCCGAUUGCGAAGGCAGCUUACUGGAUUGUAACUGACGCUGAUGCUCGAAAGUGUGGGUAUCAAACAGGAUUAGAUACCCUGGUAGUCCACACAGUAAACGAUGAAUACUCGCUGUUGGCGAUAUACGGUCAGCGGCCAAGCGAAGGCAUUAAGUAUUCCACCUGGGGAGUACGCCGGCAACGGUGAAACUCAAAGGAAUUGACGGGGGCCCGCACAAGCGGAGGAACAUGUGGUUUAAUUCGAUGAUACGCGAGGAACCUUACCCGGGCUUAAAUUGCAACUGACUGAACCGGAAACGGUUCUUUCUUCGGACAGUUGUGAAGGUGCUGCAUGGUUGUCGUCAGCUCGUGCCGUGAGGUGUCGGCUUAAGUGCCAUAACGAGCGCAACCCUUAUCGAUAGUUACUAGCAGGUCAUGCUGAGGACUCUAUUGAGACUGCCGUCGUAAGAUGUGAGGAAGGUGGGGAUGACGUCAAAUCAGCACGGCCCUUACGUCCGGGGCUACACACGUGUUACAAUGGGGGGUACAGAAGGCAGCUACACGGCGACGUGGUGCUAAUCCCGAAAGCCUCUCUCAGUUCGGAUUGGAGUCUGCAACCCGACUCCAUGAAGCUGGAUUCGCUAGUAAUCGCGCAUCAGCCACGGCGCGGUGAAUACGUUCCCG